UUCGGAUCGCAGUCUGCAACUCGACUGCAUGAAGCUGGAAUCGCUAGUAAUCGCGAAUCAGCAUGUCGCGGUGAAUACGUUCCCGGGUCUUGUACACACCGCCCGUCACACCAUGGGAGUCGGAAAUGCCCGAAGCCAGUGACCCAACCUUUAAGGAGGGAGCUGUCGAAGGCAGGUCUGGUAACUGGGGUGAAGUCGUAACAAGGUAUC
rnacentral:rRNA from 1 species